CUCGAUCUCCUGACCUCGUGAUCCACACGCCUCGGCCUCCCAAAGUGCUGGGAUUACAGGCAUGAGCCACCACGCCCAGUCUUUAGUAUGUCUUUUUGCUUUGCGUACAUCUCUUUCAAUUCUCUUCCAGUCAAUCUGGAAGUCACCGCAGUUGCUGCAAGCUUCCCAACUUUAGGGAGCAAAAAUCCUGCAUAUCAGCCUGUCACACCACACAUUCCGAUCUGGGGAGCUAUUGAGUAUUCUUCUAUAACACCAUAGGUCUCCAACUGCGGCCAAACACUCGAUUCCACCGCUGAUGUCUUCUUGCAUACUCAGUUAAAUCCAACACUUCAUAAGAGUCGUCAUCACUUUCAUAUUUUUGGGGGUUGGGGUUAGAGGUCACCAUGAUACCACAGGUGGCCUCUUUUGGGGUGGUCCCUGCCUGCUCUCCUCUUCCUGGCACUUUCAGAAAAUAAGUAAUAAAAAAUACUGAGAAGAAAAUAAUAAUCUUAUUAAGCAAAUGGGCUUGUCACUGGUGGAGGAUGUCCAGGUUCUUGGCAUCUUGAACAAAGAAGUGGACAAAACGCACAAAGCAAGGAAGGAAUGAAGAGAUUUAUUGAAAAUGAAAGUACAUUCCACAGCAUGGGAGCGGCUGGAACAUAGGGGCUCAGAGGCCCCGUUACAGAAGUUUUGGAAGUUUAAAUACCCCCUAGAUGAUUCCAUUGGUUACUUUGCUUACGCUCUGUAAAUGGAGAGGAUGAAGUAAAGUUACAAAGUCAUUUACAGCAUACGCCCUAUGGAGUGGAUAUUUCCUGUUAUAGCUGAAGUGUGAAUUGGCCUUAUAUUCCCUGCCUCAUGACCCUAUUUUCCUACCUCAGGCUCACUGCUCAAUCAAUGUACACAGAAGCCAAUACCAGGGUACUGGCUUUUGAGAAAAGAAAGUUUUUAUUGCAAGACCAGCCAGCAAGGAGACAGGAGGCAGGUUCAAAUCUUCCUCCCUGAUUUGGGGUCUGGGACAAGUUUUAAGGAAGCAGAGGGCAAAGGAAAGGACUUAGAAAUGUUGGCUUGGCAGGAUCUGUUUGAAGGCCUUCAACUUUGGCCAUUUAUGGCAAGGUAUGUUGAGUUGGAUUUUAGCCCCUAUCUUCUGGGCCAAGAGACCCUUCCCUUCUGAGAGUUCAAAUGUUCGGGUUCCAGUCAUGUCCCAGUCUUCUUCGUUCCAAGGAGAGGAACAGUCGGUUCUGGAUGUUUGUUAGAGAUCAAACCUUUUUCUAGGGUGCAUGCCUGGGCUUUGUGACUUAAGAGUUUUUGGCUCUGUUACACCUGCAAGGUAACUCAACAUUUUGUUAUAAACAGAGUAAGCCUCGUUUGGGCUGGUCCUGUGGCUGCAACGGCACUUAUUCCCACCACCUAGAAUCAAGCGCUGCUGACACACUGUUUACUUCCAGUUCCCACGGCCCCUAUUCCCCUAUACAAAAUUACACAGGAAACAUAUGCGUUCAUUUAAUUAACAAAUGUAUAUAAGAACAUCAUAGACAAAGCAAAAGUCUCUUGACACUCUCCAUCUUGACCUGUUCACCGUCCCAGACCAGGUGAAGAACUUUGAAGCUAUGCUAUCUGCAAGUCACCGGCACAGUCGGAAUAAAAGCUGGUCGUGGUGGUGAGGGUCAUCCGGGUCGGGACUGAGUCAAGGCAGGUGGGACCGAAUGGUAGGGACCUGGGUGGACAUCUGGGUCGGGACUGAGUCCAGGCAGGCCACCUGCCUUGGGCCUCCAACGUUUCUGCACAGGGCUGGGCUAUAAGAGGCUUUCCAGAGCGCUGCCGGGGCGGGGGUGGGGUGAGGUGAGGGGCUCGCCCUGGCUCUCCCACCCCUGCCUACACGCUGUAAGGUCACUGGAUUCAUUUCUGGAACUAACUUGUAAUUCUCAAGUGCUAUUAAUUCUUUUCCAACAGGAACCGCCUCAGUAACGCGCCGCUGAGUCAGUUUUCAGGGCGGGUGGUUUCCCCAAGUCCACUCCUGAGGCCCCUCAAGCGCACCCACGGCGUCCGGCUUCCCAGGGCGCUCUUUCCCAGGAGACUUUCUCAUCCCUGUUUUCUCUCCUCUUCCGACUUCUCCGAGGGCUGCCCCGCGGUCUGUCCGGCCGCGUCCCGGGCCUUGGGGCGGCUGAGGCAUGACCGGAAUGCGCGGGAGGACGCGGGGCGGGGACGCGAGGGCAAGGACGCGGGGCACGGAGGGGACGCGGGGCACGGAGGGGGACCCGGGGCGGGCCGGCCUGGCCUGGGCCCUGGUCGGGGCGGCGCUCGGCCCAGCCCGCGCCCCCGCCCCGACACUC
ensembl:lncRNA